rnacentral:rRNA from 1 species
AUGAACGCUGGCGGCGUGCUUAACACAUGCAAGUCGAACGAUUAAGACGGCUUCGGCCGUGUAUAGAGUGGCGAACGGGUGAGUAACACGUGACCAACCUGCCCCGCGCUCCGGGACAACCGCUGGAAACGGCGGCUAAUACCGGAUGCUCCGGGGAGGCCCCAUGGCCUCCCCGGGAAAGCCCUGACGGCGCGGGAUGGGGUCGCGGCCCAUUAGGUAGACGGCGGGGUAACGGCCCACCGUGCCCGCGAUGGGUAGCCGGACUGAGAGGUCGACCGGCCACAUUGGGACUGAGAUACGGCCCAGACUCCUACGGGAGGCAGCAGUGGGGAAUUUUGCGCAAUGGGGGGAACCCUGACGCAGCAACGCCGCGUGCGGGACGAAGGCCUUCGGGUUGUAAACCGCUUUCAGCAGGGAAGACAUAGACGGUACCUGCAGAAGAAGCUCCGGCUAACUACGUGCCAGCAGCCGCGGUAAUACGUAGGGGGCGAGCGUUAUCCGGAUUCAUUGGGCGUAAAGCGCGCGUAGGCGGCCGCCUAAGCGGAACCUCUAAUCCCGGGGCUCAACCUCGGGCCGGGUUCCGGACUGGGCGGCUCGAGUGCGGUAGAGGCAGGCGGAAUUCCCGGUGUAGCGGUGGAAUGCGCAGAUAUCGGGAAGAACACCGAUGGCGAAGGCAGCCUGCUGGGCCGCCACUGACGCUGAGGCGCGAAAGCUGGGGGAGCGAACAGGAUUAGAUACCCUGGUAGUCCCAGCCGUAAACGAUGGACGCUAGGUGUGGGGGGACCAUCCCCCCGUGCCGCAGCCAACGCAUUAAGCGUCCCGCCUGGGGAGUACGGCCGCAAGGCUAAAACUCAAAGGAAUUGACGGGGGCCCGCACAAGCGGUGGAGCAUGUGGUUUAAUUCGAUGCAACGCGAAGAACCUUACCAGGGCUUGACAUAUAAGUGAAUAAUUAAGAGAUUAGUUAGCUCUUCGGAGCACUUAUACAGGUGGUGCAUGGUUGUCGUCAGCUCGUGUCGUGAGAUGUUGGGUUAAGUCCCGCAACGAGCGCAACCCCCGUCCCGUGUUGCCAGCAUUCAGUUGGGGACUCGCGGGAGACUGCCGGCGUCAAGCCGGAGGAAGGUGGGGACGACGUCAAGUCAUCAUGCCCCUUAUGCCCUGGGCUGCACACGUGCUACAAUGGCCGGUACAGAGGGUUGCCACCCCGCGAGGGGGAGCGGAUCCCGGAAAGCCGGUCCCAGUUCGGAUCGCAGGCUGCAACCCGCCUGCGUGAAGUCGGAGUUGCUAGUAAUCGCGGAUCAGCAUGCCGCGGUGAAUACGUUCCCGGGCCUUGUACACACCGCCCGUCACACCAUGAGAGACGGGAACACCCGAAGCCCGUAGCCUAACCUAACGGAGGGCGCGGUCGAAGGUGGGUUCGAUAAUUGGGGUG